UACGGGGGGGGGCAAGCGUUGCUCGGAAUCACUGGGCGUAAAGCGCACGUAGGCGGAUUGCUAAGUCAGGGGUGAAAUCCUGGAGCUCAACUCCAGAACUGCCUUUGAUACUGGUGAUCUUGAGUCCGGGAGAGGUGAGUGGAACUGCGAGUGUAGAGGUGAAAUUCGUAGAUAUUCGCAAGAACACCAGUGGCGAAGGCGGCUCACUGGCCCGGUACUGACGCUGAGGUGCGAAAGCGUGGGGAGCAA
rnacentral:rRNA from 1 species